GCCAUCUACGUGGAUAGAUAAGGCAAGGAUAAGAAGAUCUUUACUCUCAUUGGCUAUAGGUCAUGACCAAUGGGCUUCAAGGGGCUGUCCGAGAGAAAACCGGAAGAGAGGCCACUUAUUCUGGAGAUUUCGAGGGUUUAGAGGAGAGAUUCAGAAAGCUUGUGUUUUGGGCUAUAAUUUUGGUGUAUAAAGUUUGUUAUUUGAGUUUUGUAUGAAGAAGUCAAGGUUGUUUGAAGUUAGGGUGUGAAUUGUUACCGAUUUUCACUCUUUAAGCAUACAGAAAGUUGUAGAAGGUUUUCUAGAAAACUAAAGGUGUCGUUGGAAAGCUCGUUUGAAGGACUACAAUUUUCGUGAAAGAGUUGUUAACUUUGAGUCAGCAAUGAGAGAGUUAUGGCUGUUUAAAGACUGGAUGUGAAAUUAGUACCUACUGUCACUCUUUCAAGCAUACAAAGAGUUGUAGAAAGACAUUUAACAAUCGAAAGGUGGAGUUGGAAAGUUGACUUGAACGGCUUUAACUAUUGUGCAAAAUUUGAUGAAAUCAGAUCUGAAGUGAGGAAGAAAUGGCUGGUCGAAGUCAGAGCUUGCAAAUUAAGGAAGUAAGUGAACUGAAUUGUUGAUGGUUAUGUUUUGAGCCAUUUUCUUUGAGCAUUUUGAAUGAAUUUUGGCUCAAACUUGCCAAAGGUGUAGUUAUAAUAUUCAGAAGCUACACAAAAAAAAAAUCAUGUCAUUUGAGUUUGGAUUUGUAAGAAAUCGCAAAAUCAGUAUAUAGGUGUUUGUAAGUCAACAUGUAAAGGCCGUGCUACUGAAAUUGGAUUAUCUAGAGUUUUGUAAAAAAUCG
rnacentral:lncRNA from 1 species